AUCCAAGGCUUCCUAGACAAAGAGACUUGCAGCUUCUGAUCAGCGAAAACCAAGCACAGAAGAGAGCCCAAAACCCUUCUUACUAGCCAAGAAUGAAACCAAAACAAACUUUCUGCCUUAUCCCCCCAUAAAUAUGGCGUUAUAAUCUGCUUACUACAUGAGGAAAUCAAUCAUGCCAUUUCCUGCAGUUACCUAUUGGGAAAAAGCUUCAAAUUUACAGCAGCAAGAAAAACCACAAAAG
rnacentral:misc_RNA from 1 species